AUGUGCCAAUGUGUGCUUGAGAAUGCCACAGAACGGUGUCCUUCCCUCAGUCUCUCAUUCCUAACUCUUUCCAACCAGCCACAAGAUGUUCUUCAAGAGCGGAUUGGGUUUUCGGCCUAUCACAUCUUGUCUGAUUCAGCAGCAGUGAGGUGGAGCUCUAAUCUGAGCGGUGGGACUUCAGCAGGCCAAAUGUGCAGCAUCAGUAGUCUGAACCAGCAUUUGUAUCAGAUUUGAGUCAGCUGCAUAGACUAAACAGCUGUCGGUUUUUCUUGCUCUUAUGAUUUUCAGUCUGAGAAAGAUUCAGAAGGUGUCCAGCAUUCCUAUGAGAGUGGGACGACUAGUUUCAGGUGUUUAAUGCUGACAUCACUAUUAAAGCAUGAUGUCAUUGUGUAACACCAUUAAUGGGUUGAAGUUCUGCCAAGCUUUAAGUAUAUAAUUUAGAUUUAUAUUGGAUUUUUAUAACUAUGCAUGAUAUAAACAGGAAGCCAUAGCAAAUGCACGAUGUCACUAAAAUGAGCUUGUCUGUGUACUGUAGAUAUCAUAUUCAAUUUAUCACGUAUGUUUUUUUCUUACAAUGGCUAUAUAAAACCAUUUACUUUGCACAGUGCAUGUUAAUUAUCUUCUAUAUAUGUUUGAAGCCUUACAAAACCUAAAUGCCAGUACUUCCAUUACUAAAAAUAAGCACGAUAUGCUUCAUGAACAAAGACAUUGAGGGUUGUUUACACAGCUGCUCUCAUAGACUGUGUCCUCUAAAAAAUGCAUCUUUAUGACACACUCGCACUUCCUAAUAAAAGGCAAAACCUCAAUUACAGAGUGUAGCUGUCUGAUAUGAGCACACACAUCACUUAAACCCAAAUAAGAGCUUAUCUUAUGAGGACAGAUGACUCUGAAUUGUGAACAUCAAUUCUUCUCUUCCUUUUCUUCAAAUGAUUUUAAAAAACUAUGCAGAAAUAUUUAAAUCAAUGAAAAAUUGUUUUCUAUAAUAUUCCACAAAUAUUAUGUUUAUUAGGUCACUGUUUGAAUUAUUUCCUGUUUAAAAAAUAAAUAAAUAAAUAAAUCUGACAUCCAAAUCAUAUUUCAGAUUUUCAGUAAUAUUAAUGUGUUUAAAAAAACAUUUAAAAAAACAUAUUUCUUUACUGUUAACAUACCUGAAAGCAUCUGAAGUGAGAAGUGAAUGUUAUUCAAGGUCUGACUGUGACCAUUAAGUAAAUAAGCCAUAACACCUGUAGGUCUUUUUAGGCUGUCAGACUCUGACAGCUCCUUCGGGAAAGGCAAAGCCACAUAAAUUUAGUAGGUGAACGCAAUGUUUUGAACUAAAUAUUCAUUGGGGGAGGGACAACAUACCAGGUUCCUUUGAUUGGGAAGGAUAGUGGUGUAUCACGCUAUGAAACACCUGUUUUGGAAAAAAUGGUAAAGGAAAACAGUUAAGUCACAUUCCCUGUGAAAUAAAUAUUUAUCUUGGCACAAAAUGAAACAAAAAAGGUAGAUUUGACCAACAGUACUCAAAGUGUUUUCAGGAAACCAGUUAAGAGUACUUGCCAAAUUAGAACAAGAAAGAGAGAGAAAAUGGUAUUCCUGUUAAAUCACCCAAAAGCAAACAACCAAUGUUGGCUUAUGAAAGAUGGAUAAUGACUGCAUGGG
rnacentral:lncRNA from 1 species